CAGAAGAAGUCCCGGCUAACUUCGUGCCAGCAGCCGCGGUAAUACGAAGGGGGCUAGCGUUACUCGGAAUUAUUGGGCGUAAAGCGUGCGUAGGCUGCUUAGUAAGUCAAAAGUGAAAGCCUUGGGCUCAACCUAAGAAUUGCUUUUGAAACUACUAAGCUUGAGUACUGUAGGGGGUAGCGGAAUUCCUAGUGUAGGGGUGAAAUUCGUAGAUAUUAGGAGGAACACCGGAGGCGAAAGCGGUUAUCUGGACAGUCACUGACGCUGUUGCACGAAAGCGUGGGGAGCAAACAGGAUUAGAUACCCUGGUAGUCCACGCUGUAAACGA
rnacentral:rRNA from 1 species